rnacentral:rRNA from 1 species
CCUACGGGUGGCAGCAGUGAGGAAUAUUGGUCAAUGGGCGCAAGCCUGAACCAGCCAAGUCGCGUGAUGGAAGACGGUCCUAUGGAUUGUAAACCUCUUUUGUCGGGGAGCAAAAGACGCCACGCGUGGCGUUCCGAGAGUACCCGAAGAAAAAGCAUCGGCUAACUCCGUGCCAACAGCCGCGGUAAUACGGAGGAUGCGAGCGUUAUCCGGAUUUAUUGGGUUUAAAGGGUGCGCAGGCGGAAGAUCAAGUCAGCGGUAAAAUUGAGAGGCUCAACCUCUUCGAGCCGUUGAAACUGGUGUUCUUGAGUGAGCGAGAAGUAUGCGGAAUGCGUGGUGUAGCGGUGAAAUGCAUAGAUAUCACGCAGAACUCCGAUUGCGAAGGCAGCAUACCGGCGCGCAACUGACGCUCAUGCACGAAAGUGUGGGUAUCGAACAGGAUUAGAUACCCGUGUAGUC